GACGAACGCUGGCGGCGUGCUUAACACAUGCAAGUCGAACGAAGAGCGAUGGAAGCUUGCUUCUAUCAAUCUUAGUGGCGAACGGGUGAGUAACGCGUAAUCAACCUGCCCUUCAGAGGGGGACAACAGUUGGAAACGACUGCUAAUACCGCAUACGAUCUAACCUCGGCAUCGAGGAUAGAUGAAAGGUGGCCUCUACAUGUAAGCUAUCACUGCAGGAGGGGAUUGCGUCUGAUUAGCUAGUUGGAGGGGUAACGGCCCACCAAGGCGAUGAUCAGUAGCCGGUCUGAGAGGAUGAACGGCCACAUUGGGACUGAGACACGGCCCAGACUCCUACGGGAGGCAGCAGUGGGGAAUCUUCCGCAAUGGACGAAAGUCUGACGGAGCAACGCCGCGUGAGUGAUGACGGCCUUCGGGUUGUAAAGCUCUGUUAAUCGGGACGAAAGGCCUUCUUGCGAAUAGUUAGAAGGAUUGACGGUACCGGAAGAGAAAGCCACGGCUAACUACGUG
rnacentral:rRNA from 1 species